GACGAACGCUGGCGGCGUGCUUAACACAUGCAAGUCGAACGGAAAGGCCCUGCUUUUGUGGGGUGCUCGAGUGGCGAACGGGUGAGUAACACGUGAGUAACCUGCCCUUGACUUUGGGAUAACUUCAGGAAACUGGGGCUAAUACCGGAUAGGAGCUCCUGCUGCAUGGUGGGGGUUGGAAAGUUUCGGCGGUUGGGGAUGGACUCGCGGCUUAUCAGCUUGUUGGUGGGGUAGUGGCUUACCAAGGCAUUGACGGGUAGCCGGCCUGAGAGGGUGACCGGCCACAUUGGGACUGAGGUACGGCCCAGACUGCUACGGGAGGCAGCAGUGGGGAAUAUUGCACAAUGGGCGGAAGCCUGAUGCAGCAACGCCGCGUGCGGGAUGACGGCCUUCGGGUUGUAAACCGCUUUCGCCUGUGACGAAGCGUGAGUGACGGUAAUGGGUAAAGAAGCACCGGCUAACUACGUG
rnacentral:rRNA from 1 species